rnacentral:rRNA from 1 species
GACGAACGCUGGCGGCGUGCUUAACACAUGCAAGUCGAACGGAAAGGCCCUGCUUGCAGGGUACUCGAGUGGCGAACGGGUGAGUAACACGUGGGUGAUCUGCCCUGCACUUCGGGUUACGCCUGGGAAACUGGGUCUAAUACCGGAUAGUAGCCAUUUUUAGUGUGAUGGUUGGAAAGUUUUUUCGGUGUAGGAUGAGCUCGCGGCCUAUCAGCUUGUUGGUGGGGUAAUGGCCUACCAAGGCGGCGACGGGUAGCCGGCCUGAGAGGGUGGACGGCCACAUUGGGACUGAGAUACGGCCCAGACUCCGACGGGAGGCAGCAGGGGGGAAUAUUGCACAAUGGGCGCAAGCCUGAUGCAGCGAGGCCGCGUGGGGGAUGACGGCCUUCGGGUUGUAAACUCCUUUCGAUAGGGACGAAGCUUUUUGUGACGGUACCUAGAGAAGAAGCACCGGCUAACUACGUG